rnacentral:rRNA from 1 species
CCUACGGGGGGCUGCAGUGGGGAAUCUUGCGCAAUGGACGAAAGUCUGACGCAGCGACGCCGCGUGGGUGACGAAGGCCUUCGGGUUGUAAAGCCCUGUGGGCGGGAACGAACCGGUCGGGAGUGAACAUCUCCCGGCCUUGACGGUACCCGUUUAGCAAGCAUCGGCUAACUCUGUGCCAGCAGCCGCGGUAAGACAGAGGAUGCUACCGUUGCUCGGAAGUACUGGGCGGACAGCGCACGCAGGCGGUGAAAGCCCGGGGCUCAACCUCGGAAGUGCACCGGAUACUGCGGAACUGGGGUCGUGAAGAGGAGAGCGGAAUGCCCGGUGUAGAGGUGAAAUUCGUAGAUAUCGGGAGGAACACCAGUGGCGAAAGCGGCUCUCUGGGCAAUGACCGACGCUGAGGCGCGAAGGCGUGGGAAGCAAACAGGAUUAGAUAACCGUGUAGUC